UACGUAGGGUGCAAGCGUUGUCCGGAAUCACUGGGCGUAAAGGGCGCGUAGGCGGCAGGCCAAGCGUGCGGUGAAAGUCCGGGGCUCAACCCCGGAUCUGCCGUGUGGACUGGCUUGCUAGAGCACUGUAGAGGCGAGUGGAAUUCCGGGUGUAGCGGUGGAAUGCGUAGAGAUCCGGAAGAACACCGGUGGCGAAGGCGGCUCGCUGGGCAGUGGCUGACGCUGAGGCGCGACAGCGUGGGGAGCAAACAGG
rnacentral:rRNA from 1 species